GUGACGACAACGUGAAGACAUUAGAGAAAACAUGUGAAGACAUUGAUAAAUAUGUGAACAACCCGAAUUUUGCAUUAGUGCAUUAGUGGUGACCUGUAUUUUUUUGCUCGACAGUUUUCGAUUUGCGGGAAAGUUUUUUCAGCCUUCGGGCUUCGGACGGUUUGCUUGGUUUGCUGUUUGCUUUUAAUUGCGAAAAAUAAAUUAACAAAAACAACACGCAAGCACCAGUUACCCAAUUUUGAGGAAAUUUGCCGCCAUGAUCAAAUUAAUUCUACUCAUUUUUUGACGUCUUCGAACAACUGAAAAAAAAAAUUAUUAAAAUUCAACUCAGCCGCUGAGUAGCCCAGAGUGAGCGUGUACUCAUUUUUUGACGUCUUCGAACAACUGAAAAAAUGAUUAAAAUUCAACUCAGCCACUGAGUAGCCCAGAGUGAGCGUGUACUGUGAAGCAUUCUCAGCUGUCAAAAUUCCGUUUGGUAAAAAAGGCAAAAUUUCGUGAACCUCUUUUCUUUUCAACUGCGUACCACGCUAAAAAACUAAUGAAGUUAAUAAUGAGAAUCAUAAUAAAAAAUAUUACCACAAAUAAA